GACGGGACCCGCACAAGCGGUGGAUGAUGUGGUUUAAUUCGAUGCAACGCGCAAAACCUUACCUACCUUUGACAUGUACGGAAUUCGCCAGAGAUGGCUUAGUGCUCGAAAGAGAACCGUAACACAGGUGCUGCAUGGCUGUCGUCAGCUCGUGUCGUGAGAUGUUGGGUUAAGUCCCGCAACGAGCGCAACCCUUGUCAUUAGUUGCUACAUUUAGUUGGGCACUCUAAUGAGACUGCCGGUGACAAACCGGAGGAAGGUGGGGAUGACGUCAAGUCCUCAUGGCCCUUAUAGGUAGGGCUACACACGUCAUACAAUGGAUGGUACAAAGGGUCGCCAACCCGCGAGGGGGAGCCAAUCCCAUAAAACCAUUCGUAGUCCGGAUCGCAGUCUGCAACUCGACUGCGUGAAGUCGGAAUCGCUAGUAAUCGUGGAUCAGAAUGUCACGGUGAAUACGUUCCCGGGUCUU
rnacentral:rRNA from 1 species